AUCAGGGUCACGUCGCAGAGAAUGCCAUCACUUCUUUGCUGAUUCAGCGCCGCCAGGACCGUGUCAUUGUGAGUUUCCGAGUGGCACAGCCUCUGGCCCGUCAGCAUUUCUUGAAUACUACAAAGGAGAGUAAUGAAGCCCUGUUUAUGCCUUUCACCGGCUCAGCUUCCUGGGGCUCUCUCACCCGUUGGGCUUUGGGGAGGCUACUUCUAGUGCCCUGAAUAAAGUGUGGUAACGGCCAUCACAGCAUAUUCAGUGUAUCAGGACAGUGGCACACCAAGGACCUUUGGACUGCUUCCUCAGAAACUGAUGGGGACCGGCCUCCAGGCAGAAUGGCCGCCACUUACUUUCCCUCUGGCUGCCUCUCAGACUUUAGACUGUGGAGCUCCCUCCCGCCUCGGUGCACCGCCCAGCUCAGCUCAUCCUUGGGACCUCAGGCCUGCUUCUUUCCUGGGUUUGCACUGCACUUUACCAUCAGAACGGUUUUCAUCACGGCAUUUGCAUUGCUGGUGGUGUAGCUGUUUCUAUGAUAGAAUACCCAGUUUAUGAAGGAAUAAAUCAAAUUUUGUAUCAGUCAUAGCUGGUACUUUACAUCAAGUUGAAUGUUUGCCUCAGCAAAUACUUAUCAAAUAAAUAUAUAUUCAAAAAAGGUAGCAGGAACUUCUGAAUCCUCCCCAAAGGGAUUGCAUUAAAGGGGUCAAUAUUCAGAGGCAGCAUAGUUUUCUACAAAUUUUUAUCAUGUACCUUUAUAGUGAUUUGCCUUUUUCUCAAAGGGUUACCAUCCAAAAUAAGAAAGAAAAAAAACA
rnacentral:lncRNA from 1 species